AGAGUUUGAUCAUGGCUCAGGAUGAACGCUAGCUACAGGCUUAACACAUGCAAGUCGAGGGGAAACGACAUCGAAAGCUUGCUUUUGAUGGGCGUCGACCGGCGCACGGGUGAGUAACGCGUAUCCAACCUGCCCACCACUUGGGGAUAACCUUGCGAAAGUAAGACUAAUACCCAAUGACGUCUCUAGAAGACAUCUGAAGGAGAUUAAAGAUUUAUCGGUGAUGGAUGGGGAUGCGUCUGAUUAGCUUGUUGGCGGGGUAACGGCCACAAGGCGACGAUCAGUAGGGGUUCUGAGAGGAAGGUCCCCCACAUUGGAACUGAGACACGGUCCAAACUCCUACGAGGCA
rnacentral:rRNA from 1 species